CUGUGUUUUAUCACACAGAUGGAAACAUAUGUCGACUUCUGGUCCGAAUUUAGACCUAUUUGUGUUUCACAGGAUAUGAUAAAGGUCGUACCACGGGGUUUGUAGAUCAAGUACUUCUCUUCCUUGGUCGUCAACAUGCUUGGAAAUCACUAACAAACGCGCUCAAGUAUGCUAAGCUUGGAAAUCACUAACAAACACGCUCAAUGCCCCUGUGAGCAUCAUCCUAAGUCGAUACUUAGGACUAUUUGCAUACGAGGAUUCAAGGGGCGACCAGAUAAGUUGGAGGCGGCCGAGUACUUGUUGAAUCAUGGCAAGGUUUUGAAUAAGUUGACAAUUGAUACUUGUGAGUUGUGAUCUUAAUGAAAAAUUAAUGAUGAAGUAGAGCGGAAAUUUUCGAGGUUGUAUGUGAAUUCAAAGACUUGUAAAAUUGAUUGAAUCCUUUGAAAUUUGUGAAUGUACUUCUAUCUAUCCGAUAGAACAUGAAGUUUAUCUGCAGCUGUAGCGCAACCGUAUGAAAUCUGUUGUACUUCUUAA